GCUGCGUUGGCCGAGUGGUUAAGGCGUUGGACUCGAAAUCCAAUGGGAUAUUCCCGCGCAGGUUCGAAUCCUGUUCGCAGCG
rnacentral:tRNA from 1 species